rnacentral:rRNA from 1 species
GACGAACGCUGGCGGCGUGCUUAACACAUGCAAGUCGAACGGAAAGGCCCUUCGGGGUCCUCGAGUGGCGAACGGGUGAGUAACACGUGGGUGAUCUGCCCUGCACUUUGGGAUAAGCCUGGGAAACUGGGUCUAAUACCGAAUAUGAUCAUCGGCUUCAUGGUCGGUGGUGGAAAGCUUUUGCGGUGUGGGAUGGGCCCGCGGCCUAUCAGCUUGUUGGUGGGGUAAUGGCCUACCAAGGCGACGACGGGUAGCCGGCCUGAGAGGGUGACCGGCCACACUGGGCCUGAGAUACGGCCCAGACUCCUACGGGAGGCAGCAGUGGGGAAUAUUGCACAAUGGGCGCAAGCCUGAUGCAGCGACGCCGCGUGAGGGAUGACGGCCUUCGGGUUGUAAACCUCUUUCAGCACAGACGAAGCGCAAGUGACGGUAUGUGCAGAAGAAGGACCGGCCAACUACGUG